rnacentral:lncRNA from 1 species
AGGGCUGUCCCUCCCUGGAACACGCCCCUUCUGAGCUGUUGCGGCUGCUCUGGUGACUCCAGGGGGCUGGGGCUCUGCCUCACUCAGAGGACCAGGGCCUCACUCCUGCUAAAGACAUCUGUGACCCUCCUGUUGAGGAAGUGACAGGACGGCUCGGUGCCUAGUGCCCGCUGCCACCCAAUGACGGCUGAUGGCUGCUUUUGAAAGGAAGGGUUCUGUCCUCUCCAGGGCUGGGCAUCAACCUGCAGAAACCUGUGCCAGGGCCACUCUGGAGGCUCUGCUGCAGCCUGUUCAGGUCCCACGCUGCCCAAGUCAUUGCCCAUUGUCUCCAGGCUAAGGAUUUCCAGUGUCCUGGAUCUCUUGCCGUGGGUUUGGGACAAAGUGGGGCACACCAGUCCCUCGGGAAUGGCCUCCGCCAGCAGGACUGUCCAGCAACAUCUGUGCCAAGUGAGGACAAGCACGGGUUCUUUGGAACUUGCUCUAGCAAGGCACUUGGCACCGUCCCCGAGUCUGGCAGGGCAGCGGGAGCCUGGAAAGCAGCAGAGACGGGUGGAGGCCUGGCGGAGGCUGCUGUGUGGGGAGUGGAGGCGGCUAACUGGAAGCAGGGCGUCCUGUGUGGUUGGUGAGGGGUGCACUUUCCACUGUCUCCUGCUGGUCCCCUGUGGGAAGUGAGGACAAAGCCCAGGGACGCUGUCCGAUACAGAUCCAGCCCUAGCAGCCGGCCUGCUGCUGCGGGGCUUCUUCUCGUGUCUCUUUCCCAGACUCAGUGCUCCAUGGUGGGCGACAGCUGACCUUCUAGAUGGCCUUGGCAUUGCUCCUGGGUCAGUGUCUCGGAGGCUGCCCAAGGCCGCCUUCUCCCAGAGCCUCCCCGAAGUGAACAGGAGGGUGGGAAACAGCACAGUCCACACACAACCACAGGGGGAUUCU